UUCAUGGCAUAGAAUUUGCUGCUUAGCUUAUACCUUUCUCUUCUCUUUGGUUUUGUGGCAAUGUAUAUUUUCUUUUCUUUGUAUAAAUAUUUUACUUCUAAAAAUCAAAUUAUAUUUUUUUCCUGUUCCUCAGUGAUUUCAAAGAGAUCCAUUUCAGUGAUUUUAACCUAAGAACUUGAAUAAAUUCCCCUCAUUUUUCUUUUCUAUAAAUCAUAAUAUAUAUUUCAAGGAAGUAAAUAUAGAUUGUGAAAAUGAAAAAAGGCAUUGCAGCUAAGUUCUUGUAGGUAGUGUAGCAGAUGAUGAGGUGAAAUCAUGCAUGGUGGAAGAAUAUAGGAAGAGCAGCAUGUCAUAUAUAUAUAGAUAUAUAUAUAUGUUGACAGAAGAGAGAGAGCACAAGCCAGGAUCUGCAAAAAGAGUGUUUGCUUUUGUUGGAAGUGUGCUUUCUCUUCUUCUGUCACCAUUUCUCUAACUCUAUCAUAUUCCCUGCUAUAUCAUCCCUUAAUUUCACAUCCAAAUCACAUGCUGUAAUUUCUUCUUCACCCUUCUCUUUUAUGUUGUUCCUUAUCUCUGUGCAUACAUACAUACAUACAUACAUACAUACAUACAUACAUACGUAUGUACGUACGUACAUACAUAAAUAUGAGAAUACAUGACAGAAAGUAUAAUAACAAAAGAAACUGAAAAGUUUUUAACUCUAGAAAGAUAGGGAAAUGGAACAAGGCUUUUUGAGAUGCUUUCUUGCAUGAAAUAAACCGUUGGAUUAUUUUGAAAUGCCUCUCAAAAUUCAAUACAUAUAUAUUAGUUUCACUACCAAUUUAGAAUUAACAUUUACCUUAUCUCUGAUCAUUACAUCAUUUUCUGUCUGAUUAUGCAUUAAGAACAAGAGUCCGUAUAUAGCUAAUGAGUGCUCCACUAACAUGACCCCAUAUGAUAUAGUAAGGCUAAAAGAUUAAUGUGAGAGGGUUUCUUUGUACCCUUGGUGAAGAAUCUCAAUUAGAUUUAUCUUUCAACUAAGAAACCCAUUUGGCUAUAUAUGGGCUUUAACCAGCCCCCAAAAGCAUGUUAGAACCUUGAUAAAGUAAUCCAUGAUUAAUGAAAAUCACCUUUUAGACUUAAAAAGGUUCUACAUUUCUAGCAUUACGUGCUAUGUUUGUUUGAAUGCAUCAGAAAAUAUUCAUUGCACCACCUUUGAUAUCGAUUCUUUAUGUUAUCAGUUCCAAGUACACGAAACUCAAAAGAUAUUCUAAACACCCCUUUUUUUAAUCUUUGUUUCCGGUGAUGGUUGGAUGUGAUGAGGGAUUGGAUGGAGGUGCACCAGCAAGGAAACAUCAUUCAAAUCAGUUAGAUGGAACAUCAAUACCCAAAAUACUUUACUGUAACAUGGAUCCAAAGGCCGAGACUUGUCACAUGGGCAGCUGAAAUUGCCUUAACUCUAUCACAUAAACCUCUGCAAGGGAAAGAAGUAUGAAGGUUGACAGUGAUACUGAGAGUAAAGAGUAGUCCCUUGAUUCCCUGUUUGUUUGUAUAUUGAUAUCUUCUUCUGCAGAAAUUUGCUUUAGUUUGAAUAAAGUUUGCUUCCACUUGUUUCAUUAUCAUUUUGCUUUUAAAUGAAACAUUUAGGUUGCUUUCAUGGGUUUGCAUAGGCAUUAAAAAUGAAGAGAGAUCAGAACUGGAAAUUGACCUAUAAAUAGAAGUUUUAAGGAAAA